ACAGUGGUGGUUCAGUGAUUGAAUUCUUACUUUCCGUGCAGGAAACUCAGGUUCGAUUCCUGGCCAAUGCA
rnacentral:tRNA from 1 species